UGACCAUUUUGUUAAAUUAGCCCUGAUUCUGGUUCUUGCCCUGUUUCUCAACAGGUCAUCCCUAAUGCUGAUGAGAAAAUAAAGCUCCCAGCUACCACUCCAGCACCUUGCCUGACUGCUCCCAUCAUGAUGAUAAUGGAUUAAACCCUCUGAAACGGAGAGUGUGGAGUGUCCUCUUAAAAGCCCUAAAGCCAAGGAAGAGAAAAUGGAGAAAUGCCAAGCAAACUUAAGAAUUCAAUGUUUAAAAAAAAUGGUCCAGAGAGAGAGAGAGAGAGAGAGAGAGAGAGAGAGAGAGAGAGAGAGAGAGCAGAGUUCAAGAAGGGGCAGAGGAGUGCAGAGGGCAUUUCCACGCUCACACCUGUAAGUUAUUAUGACUUUUGAAGUGACUGUUGAUGGAAGCACUUGGACAUUUGAGCUGCUUCACAUGUAUGCUUACUGUGUUUAGAGAGCUGCCCAGCC
rnacentral:lncRNA from 1 species